rnacentral:rRNA from 1 species
GAUGAACGCUGGCGGCGUGCCUAAUACAUGCAAGUCGAGCGAACAGACGAGGAGCUUGCUCCUCUGACGUUAGCGGCGGACGGGUGAGUAACACGUGGAUAACCUACCUAUAAGACUGGGAUAACUUCGGGAAACCGGAGCUAAUACCGGAUAAUAUAUUGAACCGCAUGGUUCAAUAGUGAAAGACGGUUUUGCUGUCACUUAUAGAUGGAUCCGCGCCGCAUUAGCUAGUUGGUAAGGUAACGGCUUACCAAGGCGACGAUGCGUAGCCGACCUGAGGGGGUGAUCGGCCACACUGGAACUGAGACACGGUCCAGACUCCUACGGGAGGCAGCAGUAGGGAAUCUUCCGCAAUGGGCGAAAGCUUGACGGAGCAACGCCGCGUGAGUGAUGAAGGUCUUCGGAUCGUAAAACUCUGUUAUUAGGGAAGAACAAAUGUGUAAGUAACUAUGCACGUCUUGACGGUACCUAAUCAGAAAGCCACGGCUAACUACGUG